rnacentral:rRNA from 1 species
UACAGAGGCCUCAAGCGUUGUUCGGAAUUACUGGGCGUAAAGCGAAUGUAGGUGGUGAUGCAAGUCAGAUGUGAAAGCCCUGGGCUUAACCCGGGAACUGCAUUUGAUACUGCGUCGCUAGAGUGCGAGAGAGGUUAGAGGAAUUCCUGGUGUAGGGGUGAAAUCCGUAGAUAUCAGGAGGAAUACCGAUGGCGUAGGCAUCUAACUGGCUCGUAACUGACACUGAGAUUCGAAAGCAUGGGUAGCAAACAGC